GGUCAAGGAAGGCCAGCAUGCAGGAUGAGCUCCCUUACAGUCCCUGUCUGCCCCUUCUCCAUGGCUGCUCUGCAGCUCACCACAGGGUUAGCUGCACUCACACAUUUAACUGGUGUGCCUGGGGUUUGCCAGAUGUAAAAAUGGUGAGAGAACUCUUGCAGGUAUGUGUAGAAGGCUGCUUUGGUGGCUCUCCAACUCUUUUAAAUCCAGAGCUAAAAGACAAUUGAGGUAUUACCUAGAUGAGCUCUUUGCACCACUCUGAGGGUGCACUCGAGCCUUCCUUGAGGAUGUCUGUCUAUCUUUCAGUAUUAAUGCCUUGUUACUCCUGUGUUGCCUCUACAGACACCGAAAAGGCAGUGGAAAUCCUUACAAGAUACCAAAGCACCCUGCUGUCCCCAGAGGAACAGGAGUUAAAAGCCUCCAUCGGAAAGAUCUCGCACAUCUUCCAAAGUGAACUAUUCCAGGCUCUGCUGGAUAUCCACGAAUUCUACGACUUCACGCUGCGCUCUGCACCCCUGCAGCCUCCCGGCCCGGACGCGCGUUGCGGCACAGCCCGGCAGCAGCAUGGGGCCGGCAAGCCCGGCUCCUCAGACACCCCCAGAGAGCCCCAAAAUCUCCCCGAGGAGCCGGCCGAGGACGGUGAGCGGAGGCUGCCCGUGGCCACCUGCAGGACGCCGGGGACCCCUCCGCGGCUGGUGAGGGUGACGGCCCGCAGGACGGAGGCACCAACCAGCGUCUGCAGCCUGGUGCUGGGCUCCCGCAGCGCCCUGCCCCAGGGCUUCAUGUGAGAGGAAGGAAGCGCCAACAGGGGCUGAAAUGCCGGCAACGCCAGAUAAAACCUAGCUCCGUGCCGCCUUCGUGCCGUGUACAUAGCACCAUCUCCGGGGAUUUCUUGAUGCUUUGCAGAAAUUAGCACCUGUAAAAAGAGCAGCUGCCAAAGCUGAAUUUAAAUAAGACGGGCAGGCUUCUGGUAGGAAGAGGCUAGAGGAUCAGAGAGCGCUUGGUUUCCUUGAAAUGCUUCCAUCGGUGAAGGCACCUGUCUGGAAACCAGCUCCCGGCUCCUUUAGCAGUGCUCAGUGCCCAGGUGAACAGGGCAAGACGUCCACAACUGCCUGAAAGCGUGGGGCACAGCUCGUGCCCCACGAGACCCAGGUGUGGGCGCACUGGGGCAGGCGCUUGCACCCCGGGGGUACGGUAGGUGCCGCCCCCAGCAGCUGAGAUGCAGACAUGCACUGAGGGUAGCUUGGGCCAGGCACAGCCUGGAUGCGGCUGGCACUGGCCUCCUUGUAAGCCUGAGAACGUGUCUCAAGCCCCACAUGGUGUUAGGGAGUGCUGCAAGCAGGCAGCAACAGCCAGGGAAUUUUCCCCUUUUAACUGGGGCUAGCAGACAGCACGUGUGGCUCACUGUAAAUGAGGAGGAAUUAAACAGCUCUCCCGGCAGGGACAGUGCAGAGGAGAUGGAAUGGGAUGGGAGGGCUUUCAGGCAGGGAUCUGCAAGUGGUGGGAAGCUGGGAAGGGCUUUGUGAGAGCAGCAGCGGGUGAGGCUGGAGGGCAGGAGGGAGCUCUCGGUUUGCGGGUGGUGAUAGGGCACCCACAGACAAGUGGGUUGGGGGAAGAAUGCCUGCUGCAUGUACGGCUCUCCUGUCUGCAGGGGUGCCAGAGACUGACCAGGGAGAGCACCAGAGACCUUCCUUGUGAGGGGAACAUUUCAGCCUGCCACGGGGGAAAAAAUCAAAAGCUUCUCUUGUUUAUUCAGCUCCUUAUUAAAGUGUUUUUCCCUAACGGGUC
rnacentral:lncRNA from 1 species